rnacentral:rRNA from 1 species
CACCUACGGGAGGCAGCAGUAAGGAAUAUUGGUCAAUGGACGAAAGUCUGAACCAGCCAUGCCGCGUGAAGGAUGACGGCCCUCUGGGUUGUAAACUUCUUUUAUCUGGGACGAAAAAAGGUCAUUCUUGAUCACUUGACGGUACCAGAGGAAUAAGCACCGGCUAACUCCGUGCCAGCAGCCGCGGUAAUACGGAGGGUGCAAGCGUUAUCCGGAUUUACUGGGUUUAAAGGGUGCGUAGGUGGGUUUGUAAGUCAGUGGUGAAAUCUUCGAGCUUAACUCGGAAACUGCCAUUGAUACUAUAGAUCUUGAAUCAUCUGGAGGUGAGCGGAAUAUGUCAUGUAGCGGUGAAAUGCUUAGAUAUGACAUAGAACACCGAUUGCGAAGGCAGCUCACUACGGAUGUAUUGACACUGAGGCACGAAAGCGUGGGGAUCAAACAGGAUUAGAUACCCUGGUAGUCCACGCCCUAAACGAUGGAUACUCGACAUUUGCGAUAUACUGUAAGUGUCUGAGCGAAAGCAUUAA